UACGUAGGUCCCGAGCGUUGUCCGGAUUUAUUGGGCGUAAAGCGAGCGCAGGUGGUUUAUUAAGUCUGGUGUAAAAGGCAGUGGCUCAACCAUUGUGUGCAUUGGAAACUGUUAGACUUGAGUGCAGUAGAGGAGAGUGGAAUUCCAUGUGUAGCGGUGAAAUGCGUAGAUAUAUGGAGGAACACCGGUGGCGAAAGCGGCUUCCUGGCCUGUAACUGACGCUGAGGCACGAAAGCGUGGGGAGCAAACAGG
rnacentral:rRNA from 1 species